rnacentral:rRNA from 1 species
GAUGAACGCUGGCGGCGUGCCUAAUACAUGCAAGUCGAGCGAACAGAUAAGGAGCUUGCUCCUUUGACGUUAGCGGCGGACGGGUGAGUAACACGUGGGUAACCUAUCUAUAAGACUGGAAUAACUCCGGGAAACCGGGGCUAAUGCCGGAUAACAUGUUGAACCGCAUGGUUCUACAGUGAAAGGCGGCUUUGCUGUCACUUAUAGAUGGACCCGCGCCGUAUUAGCUAGUUGGUGAGGUAACGGCUCACCAAGGCAACGAUACGUAGCCGACCUGAGAGGGUGAUCGGCCACACUGGAACUGAGACACGGUCCAGACUCCUACGGGAGGCAGCAGUAGGGAAUCUUCCGCAAUGGGCGAAAGCCUGACGGAGCAACGCCGCGUGUGUGAUGAAGGUCUUCGGAUCGUAAAACUCUGUUAUUAGGGAAGAACAAAUGCGUAAGUAACUGUGCGCGUCUUGACGGUACCUAAUCAGAAAGCCACGGCUAACUACGUG